rnacentral:lncRNA from 1 species
AGUACCAUAAGAUAAGGUCGGGUAAAAUGCGAAUUCAACGGGUUACAAUAAUAAUUCAUGGAGAAGAUUAUCAUAUUUCCGCAAUUCAAUUAGAUGUGAAUGGAUGUGAAAUCAAAAACUUUUGUGGUUAUAGAAGAGUUUUUUGUUGGAAUCCCAACUCCCCCCCCCCCUUUUUUUUUUCAUUUUGUUUUUCAUUUUAAGGAAUUGGUUAAUCAUCUAUUAAAUUAACAAGUACCAAUAGUAGAGAAUAUUCGAUGAAAGAGAAAGAAGGAGAACAAGGAAAAAAUAAUUGUAAUAAUCAAUAUUCGUGAUGCACGUAUUUGUGUAUUAGAUUUAAAAGGUCUUUCUUGACACUUAACUACAUGUUUUUUCGUUUUAAUAUUAAUAUAAUAUGGAACGAAAAAUGUAAAAUCUAGAAAAGAAAAGGAUAAUUGAAAUUACUAGUCUUAGAAUCUAGUUGUACAAAAAAUAAAAAAAAAAAAGAAAGAUUUUCUUUUUUGAGUGAUCUGAUCGUGCGAUACUUUUUUUCUUCUUAUUUUAUUGUAUACUUUUUUUCUUCUUAUUUUAUUGUAUUGGAUUGGAGAUAUUAUGUGAAUGAAUCAACUAAUAAAUCUAAUAAGUUAAAUUCAAAUUUAAAAUAAAAAUAGAAAAAAGUAAAAAAAAAAAAAGUAAAAAGGAAAAGGUAUUCUAAAGAAAAAUAGAGGGUCGUUUUCAUUUUAAAAUGUAAAAAACAAUACAAAUUUGAUACAAAU